rnacentral:rRNA from 1 species
GACGAACGCUGGCGGCGUGCCUAAUACAUGCAAGUUGAGCGCUGAAGGUUGGUACUUGUACCAACUGGAUGAGCAGCGAACGGGUGAGUAACGCGUGGGGAAUCUGCCUUUGAGCGGGGGACAACAUUUGGAAACGAAUGCUAAUACCGCAUAAAAACUUUAAACACAAGUUUUAAGUUUGAAAGAUGCAAUUGCAUCACUCAAAGAUGAUCCCGCGUUGUAUUAGCUAGUUGGUGAGGUAAAGGCUCACCAAGGCGAUGAUACAUGGCCGACCUGAGAGGGUGAUCGGCCACAUUGGGACUGAGACACGGCCCAAACUCCUACGGGAGGCAGCAGUAGGGAAUCUUCGGCAAUGGACGAAAGUCUGACCGAGCAACGCCGCGUGAGUGAAGAAGGUUGUCGGAUCGUAAAACUCUGUUGGUAGAGAAGAACGUUGGUGAGAGUGGAAAGCUCAUCAAGUGACGGUAACUACCCAGAAAGGGACGGCUAACUACGUG